rnacentral:tRNA from 1 species
GGGGCUGUAGCUCAAUUGGGAGAGCGUUUGACUGGCAGUCAAAAGGUCGGGGGUUCAAGUCCCCCCAGCUCCACCA